AAAAAAAAAAAAAUACAGGUUUUCAAAGUGUUUUAAAAAGGUUUCGUGUGGUGACGUCAGAAUCCAGACCCCCGGAUUCUCGGGCUGUCACAGUUGGUAUCAGAGCCACAGGUUAUCAGUUAUUGAAUUAGAAUAUAGAUUAUAGUUUUAAGUUCUAUUGAUGAGGAAUGUUGUGUGACCUCAUAUAGAGGUAUGACCAGACUAUCUAAGAAUAGUCUAAGGAUGAGAGAGAAGAAUAGAGUCUAGUUAGACGAUUAAGUUGAGUGUAUAGGUUUAGAGAGAUUUUGAUUCCUAAGUUUAGACAUUUCAUUUCUAGCGAUCGAGUAACCGAGAAUGGUACUAUUGUGAGAAAGGUCAAGAUUAGACCUAGAUAGAAGAGUUUGAUAAUGAAUGAUUGAGUUGAAAAUGGUGAAAAUGCAGUGUUCAGAUUAUUCUGACUAUACUGCAUAGUUGAAAAUGGUCUACUGUAUUGAUUUGAGAAUGAUAAAGAUGCAUGGUUCAUAGUAUGUUGACCAUGUUGGAUAUUUGGAAAAGUAUAUUGUUGUGUGAGAUAUGAAGAGUUAGUGUAAGAUAUGAGUUGUACUGAAUCAGAAGGAGAGAUUUGUAGAUAGAAGUUGAUAGAUGAGAAGUGCAUGAUAGGGAGUAUAUGGAGUUGAGUCCAGUUGUUAGAGGUGAUGUAUGCGAGUAAGUUAGAACGUUAGUCCUCGACGACGACGCUUCAAGCUGAUCGGGACUUCAAACGAUAUCAAGGUGGGCCCAUAACCCACAGGUUGGCGAUCCAUACAAUCGAUGAUAUGCUACGUGUUUUGCUAGUGACUUCACAGAUAAUGGGGAUGAAGUGGAGGCCAAGACUUAUUACGAACGAUAACGUCUACUAUGAAUUUUACGAGGCUGCUACGAACGAACGUCAAUCGACUAUCGAGAACGUUGAAAGGAUGACAUAAAUCCAAUAACGAUUUCGUAAAGUAGAGUGGGAAAUUGAGAAGACCUUGGCAAUACCUCUCUUCAACUAAAGAUUCUUUUGAUUGUUUUCUCAUCAGUGAGAUAUUAUCAUGGUAUCUUUUCUACGAAAGUUUUGAUAAAUGAGAUCUUUAAUUUCUCAAAUUCUAAGAUGACAUUGAUAUUGAUUAUUGGUAUGAGUUGGAAAGCAAAGAUGUGUGAUAAAGGUUUGUUGUGAAGAGAUAGUGAUGUUCCUUGAUAUUGUUUGACAUUUCUUGACAUUCCUUGAUACCCUUUCAUCUUCCUUGAUAUCCCUUGAUGUUCUUUGAUAUCUUUGAUAUUCCUUGACAUUCUUUGAUAUUCCUUGACAUUUCUUCAAUCUGAUUGGGAUGAACAACCCUAUGUAUAGGGGACACAAGGUAUACCUGUCUGUGUGAUAGGAGUUGGAUGGGACGCCAUCACUUGUGUGUGUUGUGAUUACAAGAAGGUUAACAACCUUUAGUAGUGUCUAAUAUGGACACGCAACAUUAAGUUCAUUUGAUCGUAUUGAUCUCCCAGUCACUCUUGUAUUCCAAUGUGACCUAUUUUGAAAACAUCUUGUUCUAUUCGAAAAUUCCCAAAGAUCGAUUCUUGGCAAAUGAAUUUUGCAAUCGCGAAAGUUUGAUUUUCCUUUUCCAUUAAAGUUAAAGGUAUGCCAAGAUCAAUCAAAGGUGGAUGACGAUAUGAUAUUACGAAGUGUGUACAUUUUAGUUUCUUCGAAGGAUUCCGAGGACGGAAUCCUUAUAAGGGGGGUAGAAUGUAAUAUCCCAUAUUAUUAAAUUUAGAUUUAAUUAUUAUAAAUCUAUUUGUCUAAAUAUUGUUGUUGGCUUUAAUUGAAAAGUGAAUUGACUAUGCGAAUAGUUUUAUGUGAUUAUACUUGUUUUGCGGAUUGAUGUGGAUUUUACAAAUUAUGCGUUUACAAAUUAUGCGUCCUCCUUCUUUUUCUGAUUCCGAGGACGGAAUCCCUAUAAGGAGGGUAGAUUGUAAUAACCCGGAUUUUAAAAAUAUUUUUAUUAAUAUUAUAAAUGAUUUUCUUAAAAAGAAGGGAAUAAGAUUUAAUAUUUUAUUCCAGUUUGAUGAGUUUUCAAAGUUUUAUAUUUAAACCCCGGGUUAUUGUGUUAUUGAUAAAUGAUUAUAUUUUUACAACUGAUUUUCAUAUAUUGUUUCGAAAAUUCUAGAUGAUAAUUAUGUGAAUAUAUGUGGUAUGUGACUAAGUGUUACUUGUGGUAUUGCUCGUUUAAUUAUUUAUGGUGAUUUAUGAUUAAUAUAUGAAUUUUUGUGAAUUUUAUAUUAUCUGGUUUAUUGCGUUAACUGCUCAUAUGUGUUCGUAUUUGAGAGAAUUCAAUUUCUAUAUGCUCAGGAGAAAAUAUAGUUUAUUUGGAAAUUUUCAUAUCGAUUUAUGGAAUGUUAGAUGAUUUUAUAAUCAAUUUACGGAUUUAAUUGUGUAUAUUUAUAUGUAUUUAUUAAUUAUUUGACUUCCGUAAAACCGUCCACUCGUAACGAGGUAGCAAAUUUUCUUCCCGGAAGUUUCAACAAAACUCACCUUUAGCCUAAUUUGAAUAUUCCGGACAUUUUUCGUGUUUUGACUUUUUCGAUCCGGAGUACGGUUUUCCCCGUAGUCGGUCCGGCGGAGUUUUUCGGGUAUUUUAAUUGUUGAUAAUUAUCCAGUUUGUCUCGAUAAGCGUGAAACGAGAUAUUUUGAUUAUUAUAUUAAUUCUUAUCUUGUCAUAAUUGCAAUGGGACCCGCAGACCAAUAAUUGAGUUAAAGAGCCUCGUUUUGAUGAUUAUCUCGAAAACCAGUACCGAUUGGACCCCGUUUUAUUAUAUAAAGCUACUAAAUACAUAUUUUCAUGUCAUAAACGAUCCAAAGGGGUACCAAUUAUUUGUAAAUAUAAAUAGGCCUUUCUAGAGCUGAUUUUCACCCGUAAAAUCAUUUCACCAGUUUCUCUGCACGAAUACCGAGAGAAACCGAGCGGUGUUCUUCGUGUUCUUCAUAAUCAAACGAAGAUUUGAAGGCGUUAUUGAAGUCAGAAUCAAGCGUGCGAAUAGUCAAAUCGAAGAUAUUGAAGAGUAGAACUCAAAUCAAUCAUCAAAAACAACCUGAGAUUCACAGGAUUUGGACGAGACGAGGAUGACCAAAGACGUUCAGAAGGACAAGUGGUGUUCCAAAGCGAAUAAAGAAUGAGUCGAGUAAGCGAAGUGGUGUGGCGAAUAGGGUAUAGCCAGAGAUGGUCUAGAGACUAUGAUAUGCAUAGAGUAUGAAGGUGGAAAGAUGAGAAUGAGCUGAGAGACGGGAGUCAGAUUUAAGGCAAGUAUCCUAUACCCUUCUUUUGGAUAUCUUGCGAUUAUUCUGAUCCAUUCUUUUCGUAUGUGUUGCAAAUAUUCGUUCCUCUCUUUUUCAUAUUUGGCAAGUGCAAAUAUUUUUAUCCAUCCUUUUCUGAUCCUCAAAAAUUCAGAUAAUUCCAGUUUUACAAAUUAAUUCGAAGUUCAGAUUGUCAUUGAAGCAUGUGUUGCUCAGUGAUGAUUAGAACCUAGAAUGACUUGGGAUCUUCUUGAUUAUUCAACCCGCCAUUGUCAUGCUGGUUUAGCAGGCUAAAUUCAGUUGCUUAGCCGAUAAUGGAGGAUAUUGAAUAGUUAAGGAUUUCCUGAACUAUGAUUUAUGGAAGGAUGGACUCUGGUUUAUGAAAAGUUGAUUAUUAAAGUGUGAUUUGGAAUUAUUCUAUCAUUGAUAUUGAUUGUGUUUAUGUUCUGUUGUUAUACGUUGACCUGUUAUUGAAUUAGAGAAUUGGAUUAUUAUUUUUUUUGAUAUAAACCUGUGGACCAGAUUCGUGGUCAUGUUAGGCCAAUGAGUGCCUUGGAUCCAGUGAUAGAGCAUGGCGGGGCCUGCUCGGGGUUAGUGCGGAACUGAUCAGCUGCCUAACCUUGGUUUUAAUUAAAAUGAGAUAGUCCAAUUCAAUAAUUCUCUUGUGAAGGAUUGAAUUCCUCAGUAUUCAAUUGCCGCAAGGUAUUGUGGUUUUCUUAUACAAUACCUAAACUCGUGAACUCAGGUUGAAUCCUUUUAUAUCUUGAACUCGUGAACUUCUGUUAUAUCAUUUCAGAAUUUUCAUUGUUUAUUACUACUUGCUGAGCGUUGUUGCUCACUCUUGCUAUUCCUUUCUAACCAUUUCAGAAAGGCUUAAAGAUGAGAUGAUUGAUUGAGAUUGUGAAUAAGGCUAAUGCUAGGCGAGGAGACAGAGUUGAGGAUCCAGUGGUCGAGGAGUGUUCAGGAAAGUUGAUGAGGUUGGUGCAAGCUGGAAUAGUUGACAGUGAUUCUUCUUAUCGAAGAUGAUCUGAUUUGGUAAGAGAUGUUGUGUAAUAAUAGUGGUAGAUUCUAAUUUCAAUACUGUAACCUGGAAGCGAUCCUGUUGUUUUGGGGGUGAAGAUGUUCUCUUUCAAAUCUUU